UAAAGUAAACCUGCUUUAGGGAGACCAUCAAAAAUCGUUGUGAAAAAUCAAAAAUCGACUAUAUAUUUUAUUUUCGGUUUUUGAACAUUGUUUCUAUGACUAAUAGGCACAUAUCUGGACACUUGCUUUAUUUAAAAUUUUAUUAUUUAAAAACUUUAAAUUUUGUUGUUCGAUGAGAUUUUCAUUUUCACGAUUCCGAAAUUAACGCUCGGGCUCGGAGUUUUGUGUUCCGUAUCCAGUCACAUUGAGCGGAAAAUGGCGAAUUUAUCUUACGGGAAGCGCAUGUUAAAAGCUGGACUUGAAAGUCAAGGCAUUUUGCAAAAGAAAGUAAAACGCCUGAAGCCUGAGGAAGAUGCCAAAUGGUGGUGUCAGGCUGGUCUUGACAAAGAUGGGUUCAAAGUAAAAUAUAUAUCUGACUAUAAAGGAUUUGGUGUAUUUGCCGAAAAAGACUUCAGAGCAGGGGAUUUUCUUCUAGAAUAUGUUGGAGAAAUAAUUACUGAAGAAGAGGCAUUUGAAAGGCAGAGAAAAUGUGAUGAAAAUAAUUUUUUUUUUUACAAGAACAAAGGAAAAAGUAUGUGUAUUGAUACUUCAACUCAAGAUCAUAUAUGCCCGUAUGUCAAUGAUGGGAACAAGAUGGCUAAUGCUGUCAUGAAACUUUUGACUUUUGAGAGCCCUUGUCUAUGCUUGUUUGCUGUCAGAGAUAUUCAAGAGAAAGAAGAAAUACUGUAUAACUAUGGAGAUACUCAGAAUCUCUGGUGGAGAAAUAAGUGGAACAUACAUGUAAUGGAAACACAGAAAAUGAUGAAAAUGGACAGGGUGACUAUGAGGGAAGCAGUAGCUGCAGCAACCAAAGGAACAAGUCAGUAAAGUGGUAAUUGGAGGACGCACAGCUUUUGCAGGAGCAAUUUUAGGAUUUAGCAUAAAUUCAUUCAUGCUUCGCUCAAAUUUUUGCUAGGAAGAAGUUUUGCUUUUGUAGCAUGAUACAAAAAUGAUGAUCAAAUAGAUUUUGAGUGUAUUUUACAACUAAUUUAAUCUCCUUAUGAUGUUGAAUGUUUGGCCGGGUUGCAGAACCUGCAUUCAGCUUUGAAGUAUGGUGAAUGCCAGGUGAUCAACUGGCUGAGCGGACCACUUGUGCAUGCAAUGUACUUUGUGUAAUCAAAUCAUCUCACACCUCUAACUUGACAUCCUUCAAACUUUGUACAAUUGUAUGGAGACAUUAAAGAUGUAUUUUUGACUUUUUGGAAGCGCUCUGACAUUUUUCCAAAAUUUACAUUUAGUUGAACUUUGUCACUUUCACAACUUGUUUUAAAAUAGACAGUACCUACUUUGUAAAAUUGACUCCUCUCAUAGCGUUUACUUUACAUUGUUCAGACCUUGCUUGUACAGUUGUAAUGAACACAUUGAAGAUAUGUAUGUGAUUUUUAGGAAGUGUUCAGACAUUUUUUGGAAAAGUUUACAUGUAGUUGAACUUUGUAUUUUUCUCAGUAUGUUAUUAACUCCUCUCACAGCUUUUAUUUGAUAUUCUUCAGACCAUGUACAGUUGUAACGGACACGAAGAAAAUCUGCAUGUGGCACUUUAGAAGUGUGCUACAUGUUCAUAUCUUUGUAAUUUUCCCAGCAUGAUAUCUACGCAGUUGUGUUAAGUAGGGCCAUAGAAAUAUAUCAGGAAAAAAGCAUUAAUAAACAGAUCAAUUUGUGACAAAUUCUGUAAACACAACCCAUUUAUACAAAAACAAUAUGUAUAUAUCAUUAAGUGCAUAUUGACCUCUUAUACAUUUUUCACCAGACCGACAGUCUCAACAUCAACUCUCUAUCACGUGAUCAAAUAUCAAGAUAAAAACGUAUCGUGUAUGUAUAAAUCGUAAAAUUGGCACGAUAUCCAGAUAUCAAUGCAAGUUGAAGUUAAUAUAACUUCAAAGCAUAUUAAUUUCUUAAUUUGAAAAGUGCUGAGAGCAAGUUUACUGUGACUUGCAACAUGUCUAAUUUUUGCAUUGAAUAUGCAAGAUGUAGCGAUUUUUGCACAUACGAAGUUGAAUCUAGCCUGAAAAACAUAUUUUCUGUUGAAGCCAGAACUUGCUCCCCUAACUUUCCUUUGGCACUGAAGUUCACAUGUCACAUAAAUGAAACAUCUUUCACUUAAAAACCUCGGGGUGUCGUGCCAAUGAUGAAAUUUUUAUGUACGGAAACCCUGUUUAUGCAAAUGAGUCCAUUGUGAAAGUAACUAUACGUGUAGAUUAGGGGCGAUAUCAAUAUCACAAUAUAAUAUGGAUAUUACUUUAGCAUGUAUGCUAUAUAAAGAAGAAAUUGAAACUUUUUCAAUAUCAAAGAGAAUUAAUAUAACCCAUUUGACAGAAACUUUUACGCAAUUGCAGUUUACCGUUUGACAGCGGUGGUAAAUAACGAAACAAUAUUUUGACAUUUCCAACCACAAAUGGACUGUAGAUAUGUACGUCAUGACCUUCGUCAUGACGUAAUUUUCAUUGUGACGUCGUGCAAUGUGCCAGUGCGGUAAAGUAUAUUUAUGUACAGCACCGGUAUUAAAAAUUUUAUGGGGAAAGCCUUAACUCAACCGCGUAAAGGCAUGGCCUAAAAUAUUUCAUUUUAUGUCAGUGAAUAAUGUAUUAAAUCAACCAUGCCAUUUUGGCCAAUUUUAGUAUUUCUUGAAACCAACCCUAACCUUAACGUCUAUACCUGUAGUCUGUAAUGCAUAUUUAAAUAUAUUUCAGGUUCUGUUCAGGAGUCCCUAAAUGGUAUUCAAUGUUCUGCAAUGCUUCCAGAGGAAACUAACAGUGAUGAUGAACAGGUGGAAUCAGUUCAAAAGAAUGUUCCUAGGACAUCUAGAAAAUGCUCA